rnacentral:tRNA from 1 species
GGCCGAGUGGUCCAAGGCACGUGCUUAGAACGCAUGCAAACGCAUAUCGCGGACGGCCGACUCGAGCGCGAGAACCUAUUCUUCCGCACCCAUCGCAACAAGCUCUACACGCCCCGGAGACGCAGGUUCGACUCCUGCAUUGC